rnacentral:rRNA from 1 species
AUUGAACGCUGGCGGCAGGCCUAACACAUGCAAGUCGAACGAGUGGCGGAGGGGUGAGUAAUGUCGGGGAAACUGCCUGAGGGAGGGGGAUAACUACGGGAAACGGUAGCUAAUACCGCAUCCUAGCGGAUGCGCCCAGAUGGGAUUAGCUAGUGGGUGGGGAAACGGCUCACCGAGGCGACGAUCCCUAGCUGGUCUGAGGGGAUGACCAGCCACACUGGAACUGAGACACGGUCCAGACUCCUACGGGAGGCAGCAGUGGGGAAUAUUGCACAAUGGGCGCAAGCCUGAUGCAGCCAUGCCGCGUGUAUGAAGAAGGCCUUCGGGUUGUAAAGUACUUUCAGCGUGGAGGCGUUACCCGCAGAAGAAGCACCGGCUAACUCCGUGCCAGCAGCCGCGGUAAUUC